rnacentral:rRNA from 1 species
UACGUAGGGUGCGAGCGUUGUCCGGAAUUAUUGGGCGUAAAGAGCUUGUAGGCGGUCUGUCGCGUCUGCUGUGAAAUCCGGGGCUCAACCCCGGACUUGCAGUGGGUACGGGCAGACUAGAGUGUGGUAGGGGAGACUGGAAUCCUGGUGUGCGGUGAAAUGCGCAGAUAUCAGGAGGACACCGAUGGCGAAGGCAGGUCUCUGGGCCGAGCUACUGACGCUGGAGGAGCGAAAGCGU